UGGGGAAUUUUGCACAAUGGGGGAAACCCUGAUGCAGCGACGCCGCGUGAUUUAGAAGGCCUUCGGGUUGUAAAAAUCUUUUGUAUAGGAAGAAAAUGACAGUACUAUACGAAUAAGGACCGGCUAAUUACGUGCCAGCAGCCGCGGUAAUACGUAAGGGGCUAGCGUUGUCCGGAAUCACUGGGCGUAAAGGGUUCGCAGGCGGAAAUGCAAGUCAGGUGUAAAAGGCAGUAGCUUAACUACUGUAAGCAUUUGAAACUGCAUAUCUUGAGAAGAGUAGAGGUAAGUGGAAUUUUUAGUGUAGCGGUGAAAUGCGUAGAUAUUAAAAAGAAUACCGGUGGCGAAGGCGACUUACUGGGCUCAUUCUGACGCUGAGGAACGAAAGCGUGGGUAGCAAACAGG
rnacentral:rRNA from 1 species